rnacentral:misc_RNA from 1 species
UUGGGAUAUCUUCCCAAUUAGAAUGCUAAUUAUAGGAUGAAGAAGAGAAACUUACCAAUUUUCAUUCCCUUUCUCGACUAGAGGUACUAUUUAUACCUCACUAAUCAAGAGGACUUUCGGCUGCCAACAUUUACCUUCAGCCGUCAAAAGUCAACUUCGGCUGCCGAAGUUAACCUUUUGCCUAUCGAAAGCCACUUCUUUGACUUUUCUUUCUUUCUCCUCACCUCCUACUUUAAAACUUUAUCCCACAAGGGUGGGGUGUUGCAACCUCAUUGA